rnacentral:lncRNA from 1 species
UUCUCAUUAUUUGUAGUAGUUAACAUUCUAUAAAAGCAGUGUGAAUUCUGACAUUACUGACUUCCGGAUGCUCUGCUCCUGAGGGAAAUGCAAGCCUAGUUUUAUUGUGAGCUUCUUUUCUCACAACUCAUUUCUGUCAGCCAAAUAAGAUAUAACUUUAUUAGCUAGGUGAUGGUGGUACACACCUUUGAUCUCAGCACUUGGGAGGCAGAGGCAGGUGGGUCUCUGUUAGAUCAAGGCCAGCCUGGCCUACAUAGUAAGUUCCAGGACAGUCAAAGCUACACAGAGAAACCCUGUUUUACAAAACAAGACAAGACAAAACACAAAAAGAGAUAUAACUUUAUUUGUUGUGUGGUUUGGGUUAAAGACAUCAUAUUUAGUAUAUAUAUUGUUGAUUCUCUAGCCUUGAAUUCAUGACCGCCAUUCCUGCUACAUGGUGCUUGUCUAGGACUUGUUAUUUUCUCCAUAAGACACAACAUAGGUAACAUCUCUGCAUUGCUUUUGUGAAUGACCAAAAACGAGAAAUCACCAAUAAACUCAGUUUACCACAUAGCAUCCAA